AUACUCUGGAUCCUCUUCAGAUCAUACAUCUUUUGCCCCCUACUAAAGAUUUCCAUGGAGAGGAACAAGCAUGAGUGUCUUGGAAUUUUCUGUGGCUUCUCGUUGGUGGAGA
rnacentral:snRNA from 1 species